UUAAGAAAGGAUAAGCCACUGGAAAGCCAGAAGGUCUGCUCAUGCCCUUUACACAAGGCCGCAGCUAUGGUUACAAGUUAACCUCCCCUUGGGCAAACAACAUUAGCAUCAGGAAGCGUUAACUGACCCAACCUUUAGUAAAGCCUUAGACGUGGGCGUGUCUCGAGCUCCUUUAGCGUCUUAAACAUUUAGUCAUUAACUUGUUGACGGUAUGUUAAGAGAGGAAAGAAACACUGAGUGGAAUAAACAGACACAGGGAGCAGUAACCACUUUAUCCUGGUGAGGAACACUGUGGAUCCAGUGUGUAAACCCAGGAACACUGGGUGCAAGGUGGCAGUACAAAUUCACGAGUAAAGGAAUGUUCAAAAAU